UUUAUGGAGAGUUUGAUCCUGGCUCAGGAUGAACGCUGGCGGCGUGCCUAAUACAUGCAAGUCGAGCGAACGGACGAGAAGCUUGCUUCUCUGAUGUUAGCGGCGGACGGGUGAGUAACACGUGGAUAACCUACCUAUAAGACUGGGAUAACUUCGGGAAACCGGAGCUAAUACCGGAUAAUAUUUUGAACCGCAUGGUUCAAAAGUGAAAGACGGUCUUGCUGUCACUUAUAGAUGGAUCCGCGCUGCAUUAGCUAGUUGGUAAGGUAACGGCUUACCAAGGCAACGAUGCAUAGCCGACCUGAGAGGGUGAUCGGCCACACUGGAACUGAGACACGGUCCAGACUCCUACGGGAGGCAGCAGUAGGGAAUCUUCCGCAAUGGGCGAAAGCCUGACGGAGCAACGCCGCGUGAGUGAUGAAGGUCUUCGGAUCGUAAAACUCUGUUAUUAGGGAAGAACAUAUGUGUAAGUAACUGUGCACAUCUUGACGGUACCUAAUCAGAAAGCCACGGCUAACUACGUGCCAGCAGCCGCGGUAAUACGUAGGUGGCAAGCGUUAUCCGGAAUUAUUGGGCGUAAAGCGCGCGUAGGCGGUUUUUUAAGUCUGAUGUGAAAGCCCACGGCUCAACCGUGGAGGGUCAUUGGAAACUGGAAAACUUGAGUGCAGAAGAGGAAAGUGGAAUUCCAUGUGUAGCGGUGAAAUGCGCAGAGAUAUGGAGGAACACCAGUGGCGAAGGCGACUUUCUGGUCUGUAACUGACGCUGAUGUGCGAAAGCGUGGGGAUCAAACAGGAUUAGAUACCCUGGUAGUCCACGCCGUAAACGAUGAGUGCUAAGUGUUAGGGGGUUUCCGCCCCUUAGUGCUGCAGCUAACGCAUUAAGCACUCCGCCUGGGGAGUACGACCGCAAGGUUGAAACUCAAAGGAAUUGACGGGGACCCGCACAAGCGGUGGAGCAUGUGGUUUAAUUCGAAGCAACGCGAAGAACCUUACCAAAUCUUGACAUCCUUUGACAACUCUAGAGAUAGAGCCUUCCCCUUCGGGGGACAAAGUGACAGGUGGUGCAUGGUUGUCGUCAGCUCGUGUCGUGAGAUGUUGGGUUAAGUCCCGCAACGAGCGCAACCCUUAAGCUUAGUUGCCAUCAUUAAGUUGGGCACUCU
rnacentral:rRNA from 1 species